UGUUGUCAUUCUUUGCUCGUUAAAUAAAGAAAAAUAAUAUAAAUCCUCUGGAAUUAUGGACCAUCGUUAACAAAUAGAUGUCAAUUUGUUUUUGGAGCAAGGUCCGAGGAUGUAGAGAUCCUUGUGUUUGCUCAUACACUUGAAUCGCGAACUCUGAACGUUGGUAUAUCGGAAUCGCUAUAUUAUAUUAUUGAGGCAUGGAGGCUGUCAUUAAUUUAUUUUCAUUUUAUGCUUCCAUAUCCUACACCGACGUUGACAGGUCUGCUGUAUAUUCAACAUGACACAAAAUACCAAAAUGAAGCAUUUUUGAAGGUCCGAGGAUAUCAUAUCCUUGUGUUUGCCUCCGAGUAGUAGUAGUGGAGUAACAACGAAGAAAAACAAACAAAACAAGGUCCUUCUACUAGGAAACUUCCAAGCCGACUAUCAUUUGAACAAGACACAAUUCUAAAUUACAGACUAGUAGCUGCAGCCUAUUUAGAAACACUGGUAUAGAUUGUUUUGUAAAUUUAUACAUUCACAUGUUCUUGUGUUUACAAUUAUGCAUGCUGUCAUAUAUCCAUAUUUAUUAAAUGCACGAUAACCAAUAGCCAUG
rnacentral:sRNA from 1 species